rnacentral:rRNA from 1 species
UACGUAGGGGGCAAGCGUUAUCCGGAUUUACUGGGUGUAAAGGGAGUGUAGGCGGUCUGGCAAGUCAGAUGUGAAAGCCCGGGGCUCAACCCCGGGACUGCAUUUGAAACUGCCGGACUAGAGUGUCGGAGAGGUAAGUGGAAUUCCUAGUGUAGCGGUGAAAUGCGUAGAUAUUAGGAGGAACACCAGUGGCGAAGGCGGCUUACUGGACGAUAACUGACGCUGAGGCUCGAAAGCGUGGGGAGCAAACAGG